rnacentral:rRNA from 1 species
GUGGGGAAUCUUCCGCAAUGGACGAAAGUCUGACGGAGCAACGCCGCGUGAGUGAAGAAGGUUUUCGGAUCGUAAAGCUCUUUCGUUAGGGACGAACGUGCUCUUUGUGAAUAAUGAGGAGUAAUGACGGUACCUAAAUAAGAAGCCACGGCUAACUACGUGCCAGCAGCCGCGGUAAUACGUAGGUGGCAAGCGUUGUCCGGAAUUAUUGGGCGUAAAGCGCGCGCAGGCGGGAUAUCAAGUCUGUCUUAAAAGUGCGAGGCUCAACCUCGUGAGGGGACAGAAACUGGUAUUCUUGAGUGUCGGAGAGGAAAGUGGAAUUCCAAGUGUAGCGGUGAAAUGCGUAGAGAUUUGGAAGAACACCAGUGGCGAGGGCGACUUUCUGGACGAUGUCUGACGCUGAGGCGCGAAAGCUAGGGGAGCGAACGGGAUUAGAAACCCUGGUAGUCC